rnacentral:rRNA from 1 species
AUUGAACGCUGGCGGCAAGCUUAACACAUGCAAGUCGAGCGAGCGGCGGACGGGUGAGUAAUGUCUGGGAAACUGCCUGAUGGAGGGGGAUAACUACUGAAAACGGUAGCUAAUACCGCAUACCAUCGGAUGUCCCCAGAUGGGAUUAGCUAUUCGGUGGGGUAAAGGCUCACCUAGGCGACGAUCCCUAGCUGGUCUGAGAGGAUGACCAGCCAAACUGGAACUUAGACACGGUCCAGACUCCUGAGGGAGGCAGCAGUGGGGAAUAUUGCACAAUGGGCGCAAGCCUGAUGCAGCCAUGCCGCGUGUAUGAAGAAGUCCGUCGGGUUGUAAAGUACUUUCAGCGGGGAGGGGUUACCCGCAGAAGAAGCACCGGCUGACUCCGUGCCAGCAGCCGCGGUAAUAC